UAUUAUUUAUGAAUAUUGCUAAAGUAAUAGAGUGGGGCUUGUGGGGUGGGAAACAAAAAGAGAAAAUUUUAAAAAUCAUCCAUGUAAUUUCGUAUUUUUCUAUUAUAAUACCUUAUAGUUUAAAAUAUAUCAAUUUAGUAUUUCUUGAUUUUAUUUUUUUUUAUUAUCCUCUUCACUAAUUUUUUUUCAUUAAAUCAGUGACAAAGUUAAAACUAAAAGAUAUUAAAGUAAAUAUUUGAUAAACUUACACAUGGUAUCUGAAGUUUUUUGUAUAUAAUUUAACGAAAUGCUAACGAAUAAGCCGAAAAAAAGAGAAAAAUUAAUGAAACUACAAAAUACUAAAUUGAUACACUUUAAAUCACAUAAUACUAAAGUGAAAAAAUGCUAAACCACAUGGGUGGUAUUUGAAUUUACUCAAAAAAAAAAAAGAAAAGAAGAGAGAGAGAGAGAAAAAAGAAAGGGGAGAAAUU
rnacentral:lncRNA from 1 species